rnacentral:snRNA from 1 species
GUGCUAUCUUCAGCAGCACACAUACUAAAAUUGGAAUAAUACAGAGAUUAGCAUGGCCUUUAUGCAAGGAUGAAAUGCAAAUUUGUGAAGCAUUGUGUACUUUU